AUGGCUCAGGACGAACGCUGGCGGCGUGCUUCAUACAUGCAAGUCGAACGAGAAGUUACCUCGGGUAAUAGACAGUGGCGGACGGGUGAGUAAAAUGUAGAGAAUCUGCCCUAGAGUGGGGGACAACAGUUGGAAACGACUGCUAAUACCGCAUAUGCGCGUAGCUGAGAUGCUAUUCGUGAAAACUCCGGUGCUCUGGGAUGAGUCUGCAUCUGAUUAGCUAGUUGGGGGUGUAAUGGACCACCAAGGCGACGAUCAGUAGCUGGUUUGAGAGGAUGAUCAGCCACAAUGGGACUGAGACACGGCCCAUACUCCUACGGGAGGCAGCAGUAGGGAAUUUUGCGCAAUGGGGGAAACCCUGACGCAGCAAACCGCCGCGUGAUUGAAUAAGCCCUUCGGGGUGUAAAGAUCUGUCAGUGGGGACGAAACUUGACGGUACCCACAGAGGAAGCAUCGGCUGACUCCGUGCCAGCAGCAGC
rnacentral:rRNA from 1 species